rnacentral:rRNA from 1 species
UAACGACUCUCGGCAACGGAUAUCUCGGCUCUCGCAUCGAUGAAGAACGUAGCGAAAUGCGAUACUUGGUGUGAAUUGCAGAAUCCCGUGAACCAUCGAGUCUUUGAACGCAAGUUGCGCCCAAAGCCUUCCGGCCGAGGGCACGUCUGCCUGGGAGUCACG